rnacentral:rRNA from 1 species
UACGUAGGGUGGCAAGCGUUAAUCGGAAUUACUGGGCGUAAAGCGUGCGCAGGCGGUUUGUAAUGUCGUCUUGUUGAAAUCCCCGGGACCGUUAACCUGGGAAGUGGACAUGGAGAACUGCAAGGCUAGAGUUUGGCAGAGGGGGGUAGAAUUCCACGUGUAGCAGUGAAAUGCGUAGAGAUGUGGAGGAACACCGAUGGCGAAGGCAGCCCCCUGGGUCAAGACUGACGCUCAUGCACGAAAGCGUGGGGAGCAAACAGG